UUUUGGAAAUCAAAAUUGUCUAUAAAGUCAUAAAGACCCAAUACUUUAUUUCACAAAGAACCACCUCCCCCAAUACCCCCAAGUAAAUCCAUCCCACUGCUACACAAAAGAAUACUUCUUUCCCUCUAAGUUUACAAUGAAAGUAUAUUUUUUACAGAUCUCUGCAAUAUUACUUUUACAACCUUGAAGAUAUGAUUAUGAUGACAGAUGUUGGUACAUUGCAG